ensembl:lncRNA
GUCACAAGUGUGGUACGCACAAAUCAAUGUUUGCCAUGGGCCCAUCUUCUUAGUCUUUCUUUAGGAAUCUUCUAUACUGGCUUUGUUAUUAGAAUUCCAAUUUCAAAUUUUUUUCAAUUUUUAAAUGCUCUCCAAUCAGAACAUUCCAAAUUCAUAACAGUUUGGUAAUAAUCUUAAUUUGAAACUAUAAGCAUGAAGAUUGUUCAUGACUUUAAACUGAAAGAUGGGUAUUUGAUCUUGAAGUUAGUAACUCCUUCUGGCCAGAUGGGCUGGUAUUCAUAAUGACUUAUAAAAUUGUUUUCUUCAGAAUGUAAGAACUGUCAUUAUGUGGAAGAAUAAUACUGAACUUUUUGCAAAGGUAUUACAACUUGUAUUCCAAUAUAAAAGUACAGGCUUUUUUGUUUGGUUGGUUUGGUUUGGUUUUUUUCUGGCUUGAAAAAGGUUAUGAAAUGCAACUGCAGCAAACAUAUGUGAAGCUUGUAUUUUUACGUCCGUCUGGCUUCUAAAAUAAUGUACUUAGAGCAGUGCAAAUAGAAGUUCCUGCUUGACUAACCUGACUUCAUUCUAUGACAAGGAGACCCACUUAGUGAAUGAAGGUAAGGCUCUCAAUGUGGUCUACCUGGACUUCAGUAAAGCCUUUGACACUGUCCCCCACAACAUCCUCAUGGAGAAGCUGGCUGCCCAUGGUCUGGAUGGGCAUACGCUCUGCUGGGUGAAACACUGUCUGGAUGGCUGGGCCCAAAGUAUUGUGGUCAGUGGAGCUGAAUCCAGUUGGCGGCCGGUCACAAGCGGUGUCCCCCAAGGCUCAGUGCUGGGGCUGCUUCUGUUUAACAUCUUCAUUGAUGAUCUUGAUGAGGGUAUUGAGUGCACCCUCAGUAAGUUUGGAGAUGACACCAAGCUGGGAGGGAGUUUAGAUCUGCUGGAAGGGAGAAGGGCACUACAGAGGGACCUCGAUAGACUGGAUCGAUGGGCCAAGUGUCGGGUCCUGCAUUUUGGUCACAACAACCCCAGCCAACCCUACAGGCUUGGGGAGGAGUGCCUGGAAAGCUGCCUGAUGGAAAGGGACCUUGGUACACUGAUGGACAGUUGGCUAAAU